AUUGAACGCUGGCGGCAGGCCUAACACAUGCAAGUCGAGCGGAUGAGAGGAGCUUGCUCCUCGAUUCAGCGGCGGACGGGUGAGUAAUGCCUAGGAAUCUGCCCAGUAGUGGGGGACAACGUUUCGAAAGGAACGCUAAUACCGCAUACGUCCUACGGGAGAAAGUGGGGGAUCUUCGGACCUCACGCUAUUGGAUGAGCCUAGGUCGGAUUAGCUAGUUGGUAGGGUAAAGGCCUACCAAGGCGACGAUCCGUAACUGGUCUGAGAGGAUGAUCAGUCACACUGGAACUGAGACACGGUCCAGACUCCUACGGGAGGCAGCAGUGGGGAAUAUUGGACAAUGGGCGCAAGCCUGAUCCAGCCAUGCCGCGUGUGUGAAGAAGGCCCUCGGGUCGUAAAGCACUUUAAGUAGGGAGGAAGGGCUUACAGCGAAUACCUGUGAGUUUUGACGUUACCGACAGAAUAAGCACCGGCUAACUUCGUGCCAGCAGCCGCAGUAA
rnacentral:rRNA from 1 species